UGCAGCUUGCCCGGGGGAUAGAGACGCGUAGAAGAUGACGGAGCAGGACCGCGUGGGGGAGGAAGGUUCUUGGAUUGUCAACCCCUUUUCUCAGGGAAGAACGCAAUGACGGUACCUGAGGAAAAAGCAUCGGCUAACUCCGUGCCAGCAGCCGCGGUAAUACGGGGGAUGCAAGCGUUAUCCGGAAUGAUUGGGCGUAAAGAGUCCGUAGGUAGUCAUCCAAGUCUGCUGUUAAAGAGCGAGGCUUAACCUCGUAAAGGCAGUGGAAACUGGAAGACUAGAGUGUAGUAGGGGCAGAGGGAAUUCCUGGUGUAGCGGUGAAAUGCGUAGAGAUCAGGAAGAACACCGGUGGCGAAGGCGCUCUGCUGGGCUAUAACUGACACUGAGGGACGAAAGCUAGGGGAGCGAAUGGGAUUAGAUACCCCAGUAGUCCUAGCGGUAAACGAUGGAAACUAGGUGUGGCCUGUAUCGACCCGGGCCGUGCCGAAGCAAACGCGUUAAGUUUCCCGCCUGGGGAGUACGCACGCAAGUGUGAAACUCAAAGGAAUUGACGGGGGCCCGCACAAGCGGUGGAGUAUGUGGUUUAAUUCGAUGCAACGCGAAGAACCUUACCAGGACUUGACAUCUCUGGAAUCUCCUUGAAAGGGGAGAGUGCCGUAAGGAACCAGAAGACAGGUGCUGCAUGGCUGUCGUCAGCUCGUGUCGUGAGAUGUUGGGUUAAGUCCCGCAACGAGCGCAACCCUCGUCGUUAGUUUGCCAUCAUUAAGUUGGGAACUCUAGCGAGACUGCCGGUGACAAACCGGAGGAAGGUGAGGAUGACGUCAAGUCAGCAUGGCCCUUACGUCCUGGGCGACACACGUACUACAAUGCGAGGGACAGAGAGCAGCCAACCCGCGAGGGAGAGCGAAUCUCAUAAACCCUGGCACAGUUCAGAUUGCUGGCUGCAACUCGCCUGCAUGAAGGAGGAAUCGCUAGUAAUCGCAGUCAGCAUACUGCGGUGAAUCCGUUCCCGGGCCCUGUACACACCGCCCGCCAACCAUGGAAGUGAGCCACGCUCGACGUCAUUAUUCUAACCGGAAAGGGAGAGGUGCGAAGCGGGGUUGAUGACUUGGUGAAGUCGUAACAAGUUAGCCCGUACCGAAAGGGUGUGCCUGGAUUCCACCCUCCUUUUAGGGAAGACUUACUUUUGUAAUGAAAAGUGCCAAAUUCUAAACAAAGCCCCCUCUAGUCAUCAAGCACGCCUUAGGAAGAAUAGAAACCUUUCACAUGGAUAUCUAAAAGUUUCGCGGAAAAGGCCUGCUG
rnacentral:rRNA from 1 species